AUUGAACGCUGGCGGCAGGCCUAACACAUGCAAGUCGAACGAGUGGCGGACGGGUGAGUAAUGUCUGGGAAACUGCCUGAUGGAGGGGGAUAACUACUGGAAACGGUAGCUAAUACCGCAUACCAUCAGAUGUGCCCAGAUGGGAUUAGCUUGUUGCUAGGGUAACGGCUCACCAAGGCGACGAUCCCUAGCUGGUCUGACAGGAUGACCAGUUACACUGGAACUAGGACACGGUCCAGACUCCUCAGGGAGGCAGCAGUGGGGAAUAUUGCACAAUGGGCGCAAGACUGAUAGAGCCAUGCCGCGUGUAUGAAGAAGGCCUUCGGGUUGUAAAGUACUUUCAGCGGGGAGGCGUUACCCGCAGAAGAGGCACCGGCUAACUCCGUGCCAGCAGCCGCGGUAAUAC
rnacentral:rRNA from 1 species